rnacentral:rRNA from 1 species
GACGAACGCUGGCGGCGUGCUUAACACAUGCAAGUCGAACGGAAAGGCCCUGCUUUUGUGGGGUGCUCGAGUGGCGAACGGGUGAGUAACACGUGAGUAACCUGCCCUUGACUUUGGGAUAACUUCAGGAAACUGGGGCUAAUACCGGAUAGGAGCUCCUGCUGCAUGGUGGGGGUUGGAAAGUUUCGGCGGUUGGGGAUGGACUCGCGGCUUAUCAGCUUGUUGGUGGGGUAGUGGCUUACCAAGGCUUUGACGGGUAGCCGGCCUGAGAGGGUGACCGGCCACAUUGGGACUGAGAUAGGGCCCAGACUCGUACGGGAGGCAGCAGUGGGAAGUAUUGCACAAUGGGCGGAAGCCUGAUGCAGCGACGCCGCGUGCGGGAUGACGGCCUUCGGGUUGUAAACCGCUUUCGCCUGUGACGAAGCGUGAGUGACGGUAAUGGGUAAAGAAGCACCGGCUAACUACGUG